rfam:Populus trichocarpa scaffold_19_contig_247, whole genome shotgun sequence.
UCUAGAACUCGAGAUAUGGGCUGAACACUGAACAGUGUCUGAGCUGCAGAAUAGAUUCUGACUUCUCUAUUGUUGCUACAAUUUGAACUUGAAAAUGGUCCUUUUGAAUCUUGGACUCUUCAUUAAAGUUUUAGGCCUAUGUCUUAACUUUCUAUC